GAGUCUGAGAAUGGAUAUGCACGAGAGAAAAGAAAGAGCGAAAGCUCUCUAAGGAGAUUCACAAGCGGAGGUGACAGCGAAGCUCGUUCCAAUGGUUGUCAGACGGAAACCCAAGAAAAGAUUAAAGAGAAAGAGAAGAAAAGCUUGUACUUGGAGUGACAGAGCAAGCUCAAGUUGAACCUCCACUUCACCCAUUGAUGGUCGCUCAUUUGGAUCAAAGUUCAAGCAUCUUUCUGUGAUGUUUAUAAAUACUUCCCAACUCUCUGGUGCAAUCUUUCCUUUAAUAUUUGGAUCAAUAUUCUCCUCAACAGGGUUUUUCUGCCUCUUCUCAACACUGUUUAGCUUGUCUUUGCAUACCACUUCUAGUAUAACUACACCAAAGGAGUAAACAUCGCAUUUUUCUGUUAAUGUAUUGUUUUCUGAAA